UGGGGAAUAGCCAAGCGGUAAGGCAGUGGGUUCUGGUCCCACCAUCAGGGGUUCGAAUCCCUUUUCCCCAG
rnacentral:tRNA from 1 species